AUGGCAGACAUGAACUUGUUACCCUGGAUCAAUUGCUGCCUAGAGGCUGGUGAGAACUUAUUAGUGCCAACCAUGGUUGUACAAUUCAAAGGAUCAGAAUAAUUAUCUGGUGCUCACAUGCCCUGAAUUGGUUAAAUCACAAAUGAAGAGACAGUAAGAUCCAACUUCAUUUACAUUUAGAAUUUCAGAAUUUCAGAUUAUGUCUAUGCAUAUUUUGAAAGCGUCAAUGUCUCAAACUGCAAAGUAGUGAUUUAUGUGUCAAUAAUGCUAUGUUUAUGUCAUGAAUCUAUCAUGGUAUAUGAAACUAGAAUCAAUAUUUUAAA